rnacentral:rRNA from 1 species
GACGUAGGGUGCAAGCGUUGUCCGGAUUUAUUGGGGCGUAAAGAGCUCGUAGGCGGCUUGUUGCGUCGACUGUGAAAACCCGCGGCUUAACCGCGGCUUGCAGUUGAUACGGGCAGGCUAGAGUUCGGUAGGGGAGACUGGAAUUCCUGGUGUAGCGGUGAAAUGCGCAGAUAUCAGGAGGAACACCGGUGGCGAAGGCGGGUCUCUGGGCCGAUACUGACGCUGAGGAGCGAAAGCGUGGGGAGCGAACAGG